CAAAUUUGAAAUCUGGCGUCUUCGGCGUCCGAGUUGUAAUUUGUAGAGGAUGCUUCUGGGCAGCCACCGGUCUAAGUUCCUUGGAACAGGACGUCAUAGAGGGUGAGAAUCCCGUAUGCGACCGGACAGGCACCCUCCACGUAGCUCCUUCGACGAGUCGAGUUGUUUGGGAAUGCAGCUCUAAAUGGGAGGUAAAUUUCUUCUAAAGCUAAAUACCGGCCAGAGACCGAUAGCGCACAAGUAGAGUGAUCGAAAGAUGAAAAGUACUUUGGAAAGAGAGUUAAAAAGCACGUGAAAUUGUUGAAAGGGAAGGGUUUGCAACCAGACUUGCUCGCGGUGUUCCGCCGGUCUUCUGACCGGUCUACUCGCCGCGCUGCAGGCCAGCAUCGUCUGGGGCCGCCGGAUAAGACUUUAGGAAUGUAGCUCCCUCGGGAGUGUUAUAGCCUAUUGUGAUGCGGCGCGUCCCGGGCGAGGUCCGCGCUUCGGCUAGGAUGCUGGCGUAAUGGUUGUAAACCGCCCGUCUUGAAACACGGACCAAGGAGUCUAGCAUCUAUGCGAGUGUUCGGGUGUCAAACCCCUACGCGUAAUGAAAGUGAACGGAGGUGGGAACUUUUUGUGCACCAUCGACCGAUCCUGAUGUCUUCGGAUGGAUUUGAGUAAGAGCAUAGCUGUUGGGACCCGAAAGAUGGUGAACUAUGCCUGAAUAGGGUGAAGCCAGAGGAAACUCUGGUGGAGGCUCGCAG
rnacentral:sRNA from 1 species